GAUGAACGCUGGCGGCGUGCCUAAUACAUGCAAGUCGAGCGAACAGACGAGGAGCUUGCUCCUCUGACGUUAGCGGCGGACGGGUGAGUAACACGUGGAUAACCUACCUAUAAGACUGGGAUAACUUCGGGAAACCGGAGCUAAUACCGGAUAAUAUAUUGAACCGCAUGGUUCAAUAGUGAAAGACGGUUUUGCUGUCACUUAUAGAUGGAUCCGCGCCGCAUUAGCUAGUUGGUAAGGUAACGGCUUACCAAGGCAACGAUGCGUAGCCGACCUGAGAGGGGGAUCGGCCACACUGGAACUGAGACACGGUCCAGACUCCGACGGGAGGCAGCAGUAGGGAAGCUUCCGAAAUGGGCGAAAGCCUGACGGAGCAACGCCGCGUGAGUGAUGAAGGUCUUCGGAUCGUAAAACUCUGUUAUUAGGGAAGAACAAAUGUGUAAGUAACUAUGCACGUCUGGACGGUACCUAAUCAGAAAGCCACGGCUAAUUACGU
rnacentral:rRNA from 1 species